UGGACUGUAACUCAGUGGUAGAGUCCUCGACUGAUAAUCGAGUGGUCGGUGGUUCAAAUCCACCCAGUCCAACCA
rnacentral:tRNA from 1 species